AGGGACCCUUCUGCCUCAGCCUCUCAUGUAGCGAGACUACAGAGCCUUAAUACCUGGAUUCCAACAAUCAAGAACUGUUGUUAAAGCACUGCGAAGAAGAUCAGUCCAAGCGGUGUGACUCUUUUCUGCUCGGGCCAUGGGGGAAGAUAAUAUUCCUUUCAGAGCCUGAAGUGAAGCUGCAACCGUUGAAGAUAACUGGCUCCCAGAAUCACAUGACCUGGAAACUCUGGUUCUGGAACAGUUGCAAAUCGCCGAAUAACAACUAAUAGUGUUUCAAGGCCAGAAAGACGGAGUUGAUCACUGUGAUCUGUGGCAGCCAUAAAAGCCAUGCGAAUUAAGUCAGCAAGAUGUAACACCAAAAAGUCAUCUACAAGAUUAAAAAAUGCCUUAUUAAGAAAUAGAAUACAUUGGAACUAA